CAUUAAUCGAGACUAUAUUGAAUAUUUGUACUUUAUUUGUCACUCGGGACUAGAGUGAAGGAGGAUGAAGUGGGAAACUUUCUGAGAAUUUGACAUUGGCUUUGUUUUAAAUUAUAUUCCAUAUGGCUCAUAUCACAAUAUUGUUUUAGAAAUACCAGAGCUACACCGUACAGAUCAAAAAGGAAGAGUUUAAUACAAAACUUGGUGUAGUAUCUUUACGGAGGAGUCACAGCAGUGAGAGGAAACACUGGGGCUGUGAGAGGAUCCUCUUGGAUCAGAGCGGCUUUAGCAGGAGCCUCUGAGAGCAGGGAGGUUAAGAGAGGAGCUCUGGGACUCGAGCAGCCUUGAACUGUUCUUUACCAUCAUGAGAGGAACAUCAGUGUGACCCGGUCAAUCAUCUCGGAAACCUCUUCUGGGGUUACAACAGCAGCAGGAAUAUUCAGGCGGGGACAAGAAGCUCUGGAAAGGACCCUGUGGAGUGACCUCUGUGGUGCCUGUGACCUCUCUGAGCAGAAGCAUUCACACUGAAUUAUGAAGCGGCUCUGACAGGAUUUGGAUCCAGACCCGUGACAUGAACCUCUGGGUAACUCCAUUAUUAAUAAUAUGAUUGGAUGGUUCAGUAUUUAACAAGCUAAACACUAAACUACUAAAAAGCUAAUUACAACUAAACUACAGGUGCUUCUCAAUAAAUUACAACGUUGUGGAAAGUUCAUUUAUUUCAGUAAUUCAACUCAUUGUGAAACUUGUGUAUUAAAUAAAUUCAGUGCACACAGACUGAAGUAGUUUAAGUCUUUGGUUCUUUUAAUUGUGAUGAUUUUGACUCACAUUUAACAACAACCCACCAAUUCACUAUCUUAACAAAUUUGAAUAUGGUGACAUGCCAGUCAGCUAAUCAACUCAAAACAGCUGCAAAGGUUUCCUGAGCCUUCAAAAUGGUCUCUCAGUUUGGUUCAGGCUACACUAUCAUGGGGAAGACUGCUGAUCUGACAGUUGUCCAGAAGACAUUCAUUGACACCCUUCACAAGGGUCGUAAGUUACAAACAUUCAUUGCAAAAGAGGCUGACUGUUCACAGAGUGAUGUAUCCAAGAAUGUUAACAGAAAGUUGAGUGGAAGGAAAAGAUACACAAACAACCAAGAGAACCGCAGCCUUAUGAGGAUUGUCAAGCAAAAUUGAUUCAAGAAUUUGAGUGAAAUUCACAAGGAAUGGACCGAGGCUGGUUUCAAGGCAUCAAUAGCCACCACACAUGCAUGUCAAGGAAUUUGGAUACAGUUGUCGUAUUCCACUUGUUAAGCCACUCCUGAACCACAGACAAGGUCAGAAGCAUUUUACCUGGGCCAAGAAGAAGAAGAAGAACUGGGCUGUUGCCCAGUCGUCCAAAGACCUCUUUUCAGAUGAGAGCAAGAUCUGUAUUUCAUUUGGAAACCAAAGUCCUAGAGUCUGGAGUAAGGGUGGAGAAGCUCAUAGCUCAAGUUGCUUAAAGUCCAGUUUUAAGUUUCCACAGUCUGUGAUACAGCGCUGUGUAUAACAGUGUCGUGUGAUCGAGGUCAGCCUGCGGCUCCGGCUCAAGCAGAUAAACGGUCUGCGCUGUGUAGCCCAAACUAGUUCGGAUUCGUUCCCCCGACAAAGCAAAUAGUGAUGUGUUAUGGAUGUGAUAGGAAAUAACAUAAUUUUCAUUGUAGCUUGUGCAUGAUUUUCUUUAAUGUCUGUGAACUUUUAAGUCAAAUGUAUAAAUAUUGAUAUCCACAUGAUGAAGGGGUCUUAGCUGAACAUUAAAAAAAACAACAUUUACAAUAUUUAAGUCUUUUAUGGAGUGUAUUUUGAGGAAAAACAAAGAUAUUGGAUGUGACAAAACUUUAUUUUGGAUGUGACGUGUCUGAAAUGUCGUGACUCACAGGACCACGGUGCUACAUAAAUACAGACAAACAACAAUGAAGUAAAACUGUAUAAACCUAUACACAACUAACAUACUGACAUAUUUUGACUAUAAAUAUACUAUAUAUAAAUGUUUGCCUAUAUAUAAACUAAAAAAAUAAUAAAAUCUAUAUGAAAGCUUCACAUAAUACCGUACAUGUGCAAAGAGAAACAUCUUAAGUCAAGCAGCUGGCUGGGGAACAGUGCCAGAUGAUUUGUAGUGCAUGUGCAUGUAAACGUAUUACUUUUUUGGGAUUAUGUACACUGAUAAAUAUUAUUUUUUGGUAAAGUAAAUACUACAUAAAAACAAAUGUAAUUUCUACAUUAAAUAAUUUAAUGCAAGAAUUUAAAAAAAGUAAAUCCUGUAUUAGUAAUAAAUUUAAGCUUGUAGAAAUUAAAGUUGGAACUCAUAAGUUUAUUUCACUUGGAACCGUUUGUUAUGUUUACAAGGAUUCUUUAAGUAAAUAUCUGUUAUGAUCCCCUAUUUCCCAUCAUGCACUGGGCAUGAAUAAUUAAAAAAUAAAGUUUAAUUCUUCACUGUUUUUAAGUUGUAUUUACACUGUUUUAUGGUUGUUUUUGUUGUCAGAUUUAGGAACAUAAUGUUUUGUGACCUCUGGAGUUUAUUUGGUUGCACUUUAUUUAACAGUACGUGUACUAACAUGUACUUAUAGUGUACUUACAGUGUAUUUAUCUAAGAAAGUUCUGGUAAUACAAGGUAACUAAA